rnacentral:tRNA from 1 species
GGAGCGAUGCCCGAGCGGCUGAAGGGGCUCCCCUGCUAAGGGAGUAUAGGGUCAAAAAGCUCUAUCGAGGGUUCGAAUCCCUCUCGCUCCGCCA